GACGAACGCUGGCGGCGUGCUUAACACAUGCCAGUCGAACGGAAAGGCCCUGCUUUUGUGGGGUGCUCGAGUGGCGAACGGGUGAGUAACACGUGAGUAACCUGCCCUUGACUUUGGGAUAACUUCAGGAAACUGGGGCUAAUACCGGAUAGGAGCUCCUGCUGCAUGGUGGGGGUUGGAAAGUUUCGGCGGUUGGGGAUGGACUCGCGGCUUAUCAGCUUGUUGGUGGGGUAGUGGCUUACCAAGGCUUUGACGGGUAGCCGGCCUGAGAGGGUGACCGGCGACAUUGGGCCUGCGAUACGGCCCAGACUCCUACGGGAGGCAGCAGUGGGGAAUAUUGCACAAUGGGCGGAAGCCUGAUGCAGCAACGCCGCGUGCGGGAUGACGGCCUUCGGGUUGUAAACCGCUUUCGCCUGUGACGAAGCGUGAGUGACGGUAAUGGGUAAAGAAGCACCGGCUAACUACGUG
rnacentral:rRNA from 1 species